AACGAACGCUGGCGGCAGGCCUAAAACAUGCAAGUCGAACGCCCUAGCAAUAGGGAGUGGCGCACGGGUGAGUAACGCGUGGGAACGUGCCCUUCAGUACGGAACAACGUCGGGAAACUGACGCUAAUACCGUAUAAUAUCUCCGGAUCAAAGAUUUAUCGCUGAAGGAUCGGCCCGCGUCUGAUUAGCUAGUUGGUGAGGUAAUGGCUCACCAAGGCUACGAUCAGUAGCUGGUCUGAGAGGAUGAUCAGCCACACUGGGGCUGAGACACGGCCCAGACUCCUACGGGAGGCAGCAGUUAGGAAUAUUGGACAAUGGGCGAAAGCCUGAUCCAGCCAUGCAGCGUGUGUGAUGAAGGCCUUAGGGUUGUAAAGCACUUUCGUUGGGGAUGGUAAUGACCGUACCCAAAGAAGAAGCCACGGCUAAAUUCGUGCCAGCAGCCGCCGUAA
rnacentral:rRNA from 1 species